UACGUAGGUGGCAAGCGUUGUCCGGAUUUAUUGGGUUUAAAGGGUGCGUAGGCGGCCCUGUAAGUCAGUGGUGAAAUACGGCAGCUCAACUGUCGAGGUGCCAUUGAUACUGCAGGGCUUGAGUACAGACGAGGUAGGCGGAAUUGACGGUGUAGCGGUGAAAUGCUUAGAUAUCGUCAAGAACACCGAUAGCGAAGGCAGCUUACUAGACUGUAACUGACGCUGAGGCACGAAAGUGUGGGGGAUCAAAACAGG
rnacentral:rRNA from 1 species